UCUAAGUUUGAUGGCGACCGGCGCACGGGUGAGUAACACGUAUCCAACCUGCCCUUUACUCGGGGAUAGCCUUUCGAAAGAAAGAUUAAUACCCGAUAGUAUAAUGAUUCCGCAUGGUUUGAUUAUUAAAGGAUUCCGGUAAAGGAUGGGGAUGCGUUCCAUUAGGUUGUUGGUGAGGUAACGGCUCACCAAGCCUUCGAUGGAUAGGGGUUCUGAGAGGAAGGUCCCCCACAUUGGAACUGAGACACGGUCCAA
rnacentral:rRNA from 1 species